rnacentral:rRNA from 1 species
UGCAUAUCAAUUAAGCGGAGGAAAAGAAACCAACAGGGAUUACCUCAGUAACGGCGAGUGAAGCGGUAACAGCUCAAAUUUGAAAUCUGGCUCUUUCAGGGUCCGAGUUGUAAUUUGUAGAAGAUGCUUUGGGCAUUGCUCCGGUCUAAGUUCCUUGGAACAGGACGUCAUAGAGGGUGAGAAUCCCGUAUGUGACUGGUGGCAUUUGUCCGUGUAAAGCUCUUUCGACGAGUCGAGUUGUUUGGGAAUGCAGCUCAAAAUGGGUGGUAUAUUUCAUCUAAAGCUAAAUAUUGGCCAGAGACCGAUAGCGCACAAGUAGAGUGAUCGAAAGAUGAAAAGCACUUUGGAAAGAGAGUUAAACAGUACGUGAAAUUGUUGAAAGGGAAGCGCUUGCAACCAGACUUGCAGGUCGUUGAUCAUCCGGGGUUCUCCCCGGUGCACUCGGCGGCUUUCAGGCCAGCAUCGGUUUGAGUGGUGGGAUAAAGGCCUUGGGAAUGUGGCUCCUCUCGGGGAGUGUUAUAGCCCAAGGUGCAAUGCCGCCUAUUCGGACCGAGGACCGCGCUUCGGCUAGGAUGCUGGCGUAAUGGUUGUAAGCGACCCGUCUUGAAACACGGACCA